AUAAAGCAAAAGAAGCAAUACCGGGUCUAGCUGUGACUUGAAAUGCUUAUGAACAGUAAUUGCAGCCACCGCCUGAAGAAUCAAUGAAUUUAGUUUUAAGCCAAAAUUGUACAGAUAAGUAGAUAACAAGUACAGUUUUGAAAAAGAAAAUAAAGCAAAGGACCCUUAAUUUGUUAUUGUUUCCAUAGCUUCGAAAAUUUGUUUAGAUCAGCGCAGCAGUAACAAAGUUGUCAACAGUAAUUUAGUCACUUGGAUAAAUAUAGGUAAAAACUAUUAUGUUAGACUCUUAACUCACAGCACUGAUUGAUUUUUGUCUUGUUUAAACUUCGGUGAAUCAAUUUGCUGGCACUAAUAAUGACAUGAACUUUGGUUUGAUUGCCACUAAUGCAGGUUUUAGAUGUCAAGAUACACUGGCUACAGCUGAUCACUCACCAUCAUUUCAGUUUGUGUGAGAUAUGCCUCACCAUCAGGAUCCCGUGACAGGUGAACCUUCUGUCCCGGCCCUUCCCCAGCAUCAAUCCACUCUUUACUUACAUGAGGAUCAGCCCACAUUAAUUGCAUAUCCUCUGGAUCCAAGCAGUCAUCCCAAUAUUUGAAGCUUAUAGCCAUUUUGUACUAAUUAGCAAUUGUAUCUGUCGAUCUACACUGGGAGCAACAAAUAUGAAAAUUAUAUGCAAU
rnacentral:sRNA from 1 species